AUGGACCCAACUCAUGGAGGCAGCGCACUGACACGUACAAAGUAUAUAUGACCCAGGUUUCAAUCAAAUUUUAACCGAAGGCGUUUUGAUCAUUAGCGUAACUGGACAAAUAGAGGCAUGGAAAUACAUCCAAGAUAUAACAUAAUGCAAUUAAUGCCUGAUUAAAUCUACAAUUCAAAGAUGCAUCUUACAAAAAUAUAGAUAUUAUGUAGAUAUGUUGAUAUGUCGAUUCUCAGAUUCUCAGAAGCAUAAACUCACGAUAUGUAAGGAGCCCUGAAGUCAUCCCUUAGAAGUUCGAGUCCUGGGUACAGAGGUUCAAACCUGUCGAUUUAAGCUGCUUCAUCAUACAUCAAGGUCGUGUGCGAUCAUUAACAAAAAUUAAUUGAUUAAUAAUUAAAUUAUUCGUUUAUAGUAUCUUUGUAAAUAAAUAUUUGCAGAAUAAUUUAAAAAAAAUCAACGUAUCUUUUAUAUACAAACAACAAACAUAAACGAUACGUAAGUCUCUGGUUACAGAUAAAUCAUAAUUUUUCUAUAUAGCA